GACGAACGCUGGCGGCGUGCCUAAUACAUGCAAGUCGACCUUAGUGGCCAACGGGUGAUUAACACGUGCGUACCCUGCCCCUCAGACGAGGAUAACACUUGUAACCAGUUGCUCAUACCGUAUACUGAUUGAUUGACCCGCGGGGCAUUAGCUAGUUGGUGAGGUAACGGGUCACCAAGGCCACGAUGCAUAGACGACCUGAGAGGGGGUUCGGCCACAUUGGGACUGAGACACGGACCAAAAGCAUACGGGAGGCAGCAGUAGGGAAUCGUCGGCAAUGGACGAAAGUCUGACCGAGCAAAGCCGCGGGAGUGAAGAAGGUGUUCGGAUCGUAAAACUCUGUUGUUAGAGAAGCGGUAUCUAACCAGAAAGCCACGGCUAACUACGUGCCAGCAGCCGCGGUAAGUC
rnacentral:rRNA from 1 species